UUUUAAUUUUAAGCAGACCAACACCCUGCACCUUUCCCCCCACCCCCAAACCUAUUCUUCUUCUUCCUUUUCCCCAUCUCCCUCUUACGUCCUAUCUGUCUCUCAUCCCUAAUUCAACAAAGCCAAUACCAUUGUAGGACAAAAAAUAUUUCAAUAAUUAACAAUUUAUAUAUGUAAAUGAGCAACAUCCACAAGGAAAAGGAAAUGAGUUGGCAAAUCCAACUUGCGUUCUCGCUUUACUAAAAAAAAAUCAACCAGCAAUCUAAGUUCACCAUUGGUGUCAAGUUUGCCACUCAAACUAUUCAUGUCGAUGACAAAAUUAUCAAAGACCAGAUUUGUGACACUGCAGGGCAAGAAAGGUAUGGGCAAGAAAGGCUCCGGUACUCUAUUUUUUUCUGUCCUGCCUCAUUUCUUCUCUUUUCUCCUCUAUUUCUAGGGUUAAUGAACUCAAAAAUCCAAAGGCUAAAAGAGUGGUGCCAAAUCCAGUGGUCUUGAAGACUAUCAUAUAUGGAUGAACCUUGAUGGUCCAUCGUGUAUAAGUAAAAAAGUAGAAAUCAACGGCUGAAAUCCGCGGCUGAACCUUUAGAGGUUAUCCAUGGUUGAACUCGAUGCGAGCUUCUGUUUGCUUUUUAAUACUCUUUUUUGCGUCCAGAUUGAAAUAGAAGUGGUGGAUUUAUGGUGGAAGGUGGUGUCGUGGUGAUUUGUAAUGAAUACCAAAAUAUCUGAUAUUACAAUGUAGCCCACCUUUUAAUAUUAUUUGAAAUUGAGCCCCUAUGGUUAGUUAGGGCUGCCAGCUAAGGGAUAUGUGAUUAUUUUAGGUCUAUAUAUUUAGUACUGUAGCAAUGUAUCAGUCAUGUUGAAUGAAAAUUGAGUCUUUCUUUUCUCUACAUUUCAUUUCUUUCCUUUUAGUUCUUGUUUUCCAUUUCCACGAUGAUUCCAAAGGGUAUCCUUACAGUUGGUAUCAGAGCCGACGAUUCUCGGCUAUUCAUCGAUGUUAAUGGCGGAGUCAGACAUAAGUUUAAAUCAAUUGGAGCAACAAAUUUAAGAUUUUAUGGACAGAUCGAAUAGAAGACUAUAACAUAUGAAAGAAUGGUAUCAAAAUCAUUUUCAGACCUUCCAUAGUUCACAAAAUCAAUAUGAGUUCCGAAGGUCGGCGAGUGAGCAAUAGGUUUUCGGUGACCCGUACGCAUAUCUUCAGUAUCCCUGCGCAAAUCCAAGUGUUUAUCGUGAUUCUGGUGGUGAUUUCACCGAUAGAUUUGCUAACCCAACGGUUGAAGGAUGUAAUUAUCUCGAUUCACCCAUAAGUGCUUACUCUUAAAAUAUUCCAUGUGCUUAAAAAUUUGACAGUAACUAUGCGGGUUUAUAUAUCAUUCAGAUGGGGGUGGUACUAUAGUGUCGGUGAUAGCUACUGCGCCUACACACGGAGAUCCUCUAGCGAUGACGACAAAAUUCUGGAGGAACAUGAAGAAGAGAGGGUACUUCAGUGCCUGUCGUGGCCGUAUCAAAAAACUAAGAAAACAUGCAGGAGGUAGAGGAAAUGCAAGCAAUAUGCACCAUCACAGAAUUCCCUUUGGCAAAAACCAUCCUGCUUAUUUCGGAAAGGUGAGUAUGAGGUAUUUUCACAGAUGCAUGAACUUAUCUAAGCAAGAAAGGACAGUAACAUCAUCUGCCCAGAACGAUAUGGCAGAGCAAGCAGUAUAUGAUGAUGAAGAAAAUCCAUUAGAGGUUCCUCUGUCUAAAUUGGUGGAAGAUGUGUUUGAUGAAAUUCCUAAGAGAAAUGAAGUUGAUCUUGAUGUUCAGAAACUAAUUACUAUGGGUGAGGAUUCGCAACAAGAGGUCCUAAAAGUUGAAGGUAGCCUUGAGAAGAAGUCUGAAAUAAAUGAGGAGCAUGUGUUUAAUAAAAAUCCUUAAAAGAACGAAACUGAAAUGUUGAACAACAAGCAGUCAGUGGUAGUAACAUCGUCUCACCAAAAAGGCGUCACAAAUCAAGUAGUAGAUGAGGACGAAGAAGAAACACUAGAGACGGUCGAAAUUUGAAAAUAACGACAUUGAGGAUGGAAGAAAGGUGAAGGAUAAAGAGGAGAAGGAGGGCAAAACAAAGGAAGAUCAGGUGUUUGAUGAAAGUUACCAAAGAGGUACAACUAAGAUUCCUAGCCAAAUAGCAGAUAAAGAAUCAUUUCAUGUUCCUUUAGGAGACCAAGGCUACUUAUUGCCAAAUAACAAUAAGAUUUUAUCUGUUGAAUAUGAGGGACCAAUACAAAAUAGUAAAAUUGCUUCAACUGUUACACAAAUAGAGAUCGAAGUUGCGGAUGCUGGUCAAAACGGUACAAAUGAUUUGCUGAUUUUUCAUGAAGAAAGGAUGGAAAUACUGGUAAAAGUUAAUGAGAUCACAUUUACUGGUGUUCUUAAAGCUAUGUCAGUGUCCUUGACUAUUUAUGGGAUCUCAUUUGCUGUUGGAGUAGAGUAUCACAGAGUGGUAGUAGAUGUAUCUAUCGCCUAUAGGUUGGAUGAUCAUAAUACGGGUCACUUGAGAUGUGCAAUAGGUGAAGAGUUUGACGCGUGUGGUAUACUAUGCUCCAGUUUGAAGAGCUUCAACAAAGAUUUCUUUGAUCUAGGAAGGAUGGAGUUUGGUUAUUAUGAUUUGUUUGAUGUGAAGCUCUUGGUUCAAUGUACUGUGUUAUGGAAUCAAGAGAGUCUGAUGCUACUAGUAGCAAAGAUAUUACAGUUAGUAUACUACACUGUAGAGUUUGAUUAGAAUGAUGAAAAAUUAUUCCAGCAAUAAUUGCUGCUCAUGGCAGUACACUAUAUGAUACUAACUGAAGUUGUCCUUUUGGGAAAUGAUGUGAAGAAAUGGUGGAUAAAGAGUCACUGGGGUUCACCAUUGAAGUAUAUUGUACCAAGCAGAACUGGUACAUUUGCCGUGAUAACAUCAAUGAUUUUGCUCCAAGUUGGCCCGUUGUUGGUUGCUGUAUCAUUUGCUUCAACCUUUGGUUAUCGCUUACCUUGUAGUGUUAGUGGCUCUCUUAGUUAUAUGGCUAAUCAAACAAAGGUUAGUAGUUUUAAGCUGGAAAAUUCUACGAAUGAAGCCUUGGCUACAACAGUUGAAUUUUCUUAUCUUUUCGGAACAUUUUCAAUCAGUGCACUGCUUUGCCUAGUUAUCAUGAACAACUUGACACAAACUAUGAAACUUUUUAUGUAUCCUUUGCUAAUAAAGGACAUGAGAGUAACAAGCUAAUUAGGAUGUUUGAAGGAACUUAUAAUGUUGCUUUCGUAGAGACCAUUUGCCUUUGUGCUCAAGUUGUGAUCAUCUGUGGCUAGUUGGUGGCAUAGUAUCCAAUAUUGUUGUUGGAAAUUCAUUGCUCUUCAUUGAAUCAUGUCUUCCCAAUGUUUGGAAACAUACGAUGACCACUAUUCAUAGCAGCAAGUUUCUGCAAUACAAAGAAGACAACUGGCUGGUGCACUACAUUCUCAAUUGUUUGAAUUCCAACUUGAGGACAAGGUUGUUUUUAAAGGCGGUGGAUUGUAAUGAAUGCCAAAAUAUCUGAUAUUACAAUGUAGUCCAUCUUUUAAUAUUAUUUGCAAUUGAACCCCUAUGGUUAGUUAGGGCUGCCAGCUAAGGGAUAGUAGAUUAUUUUAGGUCUAUAUAUUUAGUACUGUAGCAAUGUAUCUGUCUUGUUGAAUGAAAAUUGAUUCUUUUUUUUCCUCUGCA